AGAGAGGGUACAUGGUCAUUA
rnacentral:miRNA from 1 species